UCAUAUGCUUGUCUCAAAGAUUAAGCCAUGCAUGUCUAAGUAUAAGCAACUUUGUACUGUGAAACCGCGAAUGGCUCAUUAAAUCAGUUAUAGUUUAUUUGAUGGUUUUUGCUACAUGGAUAACUGUGGUAAUUCUAGAGCUAAUACAUGCAUUCAAGCCCCGACUUCCGGAAGGGGUGUAUUUAUUAGAUAAAAAUCAGCUUUGUUGGUGAAUCAUAAUAACUUCUCGGACCGCAUGGCCUCGUGCUGGCGGUGCUUCAUUCAAAUAUCUGCCCUAUCAACUGUCGAUGGUAGGAUAGAGGCCUACCAUGGUUGCAACGGGUAACGGGGAAUAAGGGUUCGAUUCCGGAGAGGGAGCCUGAGAAACGGCUACCACAUCCAAGGAAGGCAGCAGGCGCGCAAAUUACCCAACCCCAACACGGGGAGGUAGUGACAAUAUGUAACAAUAUACGGCCUUAUACGUCGUAUAAUUGGAAUGAGUACAAUUUAAAUCCCUUAGCGAGGAACAAUUGGAGGGCAAGUCUGGUGCCAGCAGCCAA
rnacentral:rRNA from 1 species